AUACGGAGGAUCCGAGCGUUAUCCGGAUUUAUUGGGUUUAAAGGGAGCGUAGGUGGAUUGUUAAGUCAGUUGUGAAAGUUUGCGGCUCAACCGUAAAAUUGCAGUUGAAACUGGCAGUCUUGAGUACAGUAGAGGUGGGCGGAAUUCGUGGUGUAGCGGUGAAAUGCUUAGAUAUCACGAAGAACUCCGAUUGCGAAGGCAGCUCACUAGACUGUUACUGACACUUAUGCUCGAAAGUUUGGGUAUCAAACAGGAUUAGAUACCCUGGUAGUCCACACAGUAAACGAUGAAUACUCGCUGUUUGCGAUAUACAGUAAGCGGCCAAGCGAAAGCAUUAAGUAUUCCACCUGGGGAGUACGCCGGCAACGGUGAAACUCAAAUGAAUUGACGGGG
rnacentral:rRNA from 1 species